GAGACCUCCUCGCAGGGGGUGGUGGGCCCAUGGACCCCGAUCAGCAGCAUGUUGGAGCCUAGGAGGCAAAAGGUGGUUACUCCACCCAGAUGCAUCAGGACAGGCACAGGAAGAAGAGGAAAUAUGAGAGCCAAAGGAAAGGAAGCAGAGGCACAGUGAAGUCAGAUAAUUCAUCUGGAGUCACACAGCUGGGGACCAGCAGAACUGGGAUUUAAACAUAAAGUCUGUCUAACUUGGAGCUAAAGCACUUACCUGAGAGAAGAUGGAAGGAAAAAAAAUCCACAAGCAGAAGUCUCUCACCACUGCCUCUAGCUAUAACCUGUAUCUGACACCACAAAACAUCUCUGGGCACGGCGGUAUUCCCCCACCCCCUCAAAUAUGUCCAGCUCAGUUCCUGUGAGUUUAAUGCAUAUUAAAAACGCAGCACUGCUUGUUCUUCAAGGCAGUUAAGGAAGGAGGCCCUUCUGGUAUACCCCGAGCACACUGGGGUUCCUGCAUCAUUUCAUUAGGAAAAUUGCUCAGCGGCUCCAAAGAAUCUGGAGCUCCCUGGUCUAUCUCCCAGCCUCUCAAGCCUCCUCCAGCAGGGUCCCGCCCCAAAUUCUCCACAUUCCCCUACUCCAAAAUCUACAGAAUGGACCAUUUAAAGCUUGAGCCAAGAGAUACAGCAAACUCACCCAUUAAAAACAGAGGGAGGUUUGCUUUGUUCAGAAGGUCAGGAUACUGGGCGCUCUGGCGGCCAAGCACAGAUACCUUUUCAUUCCAUGCACACUGCAGCUGUGUAAUCUCAGAAUGGAUAUUUAGGGAAAGGCUUGGGAGCAGGAGGGCUGGAAAAACAAGGCGCCUUCCCUGUGACAAGAGCAAUAUUUACACAGGGUUUUAAGCAGGCGGUUCUGUACCUCUCCCCUCCUGGCUGGGAGCUUCCCUGCAAGAGCAACUCCUUCUCUCAGCAGCGUCCAGCACUUGCAGAGCACAGCCUGAAACCCAAGCUCCCAAAAAGGUGUGCGAACAGCCAAAAGGAAAUGGGAGAGGGCCCAGGCACAGCGGCAUGAGCCAGCAGGAGGGUGAGAUGCUUCCUGGCCAGUGUGGGAGACCCCAGCAGCUGCUGUGAGGCCUGGCCUGAAGCCUGCCACGCGCUCCAAGUGCCUAGAGGACCCCACCUGGGCCCUCAAAGCCUCCAUAACAGUGACGCACUCACUGCGCACCACCCGAUGCCACCUGUUCAAAUAACUGCGAUUCACAGCAGGAAUUCUCACUACAGCCAGGAAAAGGAGGGGAAGAUCUGUUCUGACAUGGAAAGAUCUUUAAGAUGUCAAAGCAAAAACACAAGCUAUACCACACAGUGGAUACAGUAAGAUUCUUUCUGUAAGACAAAAGCAAAACUCUGUGUCUGCUUGUCUAAUGAACCAAUUAGCUAACCAACCCAGCAACCAAGAAUGAAGACAGACAAUGAGAUGACAGACAGGGUGAAGGUCCUCCCUUCCCAGAGCCGUUUGCUUCUGGACCCAGGUGGGGGAGGAGGAGAGAAGAUGGAGUGAGUCUCACUUUAUUUUCUUCUUCACUGCCUGUAUCUUUCAUAAUCAAACAUGUCCCAUCUGUGGCAAAGAAUAAAAAUAAAUUGUAAUGGGUCCAAAAAGCUUCAGAAUUCUUUGAACAUUUCAGUCUUUUCUCCUCCUCCAUUAAGAUCUGAGAGUAAAAAGAGGAGGAGAUAGGCUGGGACAGGUCUUAUUGCUGCUUCAGUGCAUUUCUGGGAGCCCGGUACCAUGAAAGAACAGAUGGGUAGGAGCCCACUUGGACGCAUCAUGAAUUCUGUGCAGGCAAAGAAACCCUCAAAAUUAAUGACACUGUGCUGUGUUCCCUGACUAUCAGCAUCCUGUUCUGAAAGUCAAGAAACUUGGCAGAGGAAGGAAUCUGAAUCACAACUAACAGUAAUGAGGUGUGAUAACACGGCCAUCGAGCUCUCACUCUGGAUUUAUCGCGGGUCAAACCGCAACUCCCAAAACAGCUUUGGACAGCAAGCGCCUCCGAAGUGUGCAUGACCCCAGUUUCCACGGGGAGUGCAUGUAAAAAGCUUCCAUGGGGCUUGAGGAUUUCCAUCUGGCUUGGUCCCUGGAGCUGGUUCAGUUAAGGCUUCAAGAAGCAGAGGAGUGGGUUACC